rnacentral:sRNA from 14 species
CUGCUAUCAGGCAGACAUAGCGUAGGCAGUGUGGCAGCAAGCUGCCUACACACAUGCCUUGCAAAUAUGCCUCAAACCUGACCUGGAGGGAACACAUCUGUGGGUGG